AAUUUGGGUGCCCGCCGAGGGUAGUAUCGACAUUCCACGUCAUGUCCAUUGUGUGGCACUCCGCAUGUGGUUGGCUCUUGGGGGUAAAGGUGAGGAGCCCGAUUGGAUGAGAGAAAACCCAAGUCGACGCUCUCUCUUUCCCCCUCCUCGCCGUCGCUGCAUCCUGGCGUCGUCGUUGCGUCGUCCUCCUCCCCAUCCCACCUCUUCCCUUCCCGUCGCCUACCCUCCCUGCCUCGCCUCUUCUCUCCCUUCCCGUCGCCCACCCUCCCCGCAUCGCCUCUUCUCCUUUGCGUCGCCUAGGUUGGGCAGAGCCGCUGGGCUCAUCUUCCUCGCUGGCCGCCGCUCCCAUCGCCACACCGCACGAGAGGGUGAAGAGGACGAACCAAGGCGCCUCCUACAUCGAGCCCUCCUCAGUUUGUUCCGGAUCUGACCGCACACUUCACGUCCGCCAUCCGUUGUAUGUCGUUCGCUCGGUUGCCGCCAUGGUAACCCUUGCUCAAGUCGUGGAGGGGCGGCUGGUAGCGGUGAAUGGUGGAGAUCCACCACUGGUGGCAAGGAAAACGAGUCAACAUCGAUGCCAUCCGGCGCCUCCGCCCCGCGACCCUAAUGUACAAAAAAACAUCAUUGGCCACUCUUGGUCCAUUGUGAGACUUGCCAUAUAUACAUGGUUGGUAAGAGCAGCAGGUUAAUUUGAUGGGCAUAAGCAUUAGUGAGUUGAUGAAGAAUGAUGCCCAUUGGUUGGCAUUUAUGAUAUAGCUUCCGACGUCGGAGGUUCCAUAGAAUUUGUGAAGAGAAGUACAUCAACAGAAAGACCUUUCUUCUGGUAAUGCACCCUUUUUUGUUUCAUGUAUUUAUUUAGGAUAUUCACCAUUUGUAAUAUUAUUCAUUAGCUAUUAUGUUCUGAUUUGUAUUUGUGGCUUUCUCCGGAUAAUUGUAUGUACUGGGAGAGGAGGUUUCCAUGACUAUCGAGCAUUCAUCAGUUACAACAGCUGAUGAAGAAUGGUGCCCUUUGGUUGGCAUUUAUUCUAUAACUUGUGACGUCGGAGGUUCCAUAGGAUUUGUGAAAAAAUUUGCAUCAAUAGAAAGGUCUUUCUUUCGAUAAUGCACUCCCUUCUCUGUUGCAUAUAUUUACUCCCUCCGUUUGUUUUAGUCUGCAUAUAAAGUUUGGUCAAAGUCAAGUUUUGUAAAGUUUGACUAAUUUUAUAUUAAAAAUAUCAACAUUCACAAUAUGAAACCAAUAUUACCAGAUGUGUCAUGAAAUAUAUUUUCAUACUAUAUAGUUUUAGUAUUAUAUAUGUUCUUAUUUUUUGAUAUAAAUUUGGUCACACUUUGUGUACUUUGACUUUACCAAAUCUUAUAUGUGGAGUAAAAAGAAACGAAGAGAGUACUUUAGGUAUUAACCAUGGACACAUAAAUGUAAAUUGCUUGUGAUCUUCUGCCAAUUUUCUGUUAAAUAAGUAUAACCAUCUCUGGUAAAUACCAAUGAGGAAAUUACUUUUAGGAUAUAAGCAAUGAGGAGAGAGUGGCUCUUAGUUUUUACUUUAUGAAUAUCCACAUCAAUUCUUUGGAUGUGGUGCACACAAAAUUAGAUCUCACCUUUGGUUUGAUUUUAAAUCGAGAGGAACCAAUGGAGCAGUCGAUUCAUAGGCAAAAGAUCUAAGAUCAGUUAACUUGAUUAUCAUACUAUAGGGAGUUCAAAUCCCUUUAUAUUCCAAAAUUAACAAAACUGAGAUGUAAAACUUUGUCAGUGUUGAAUAAUGCAUCAAAUAACAUUUUGGAAUCCUUUUGCUUUAAUUAUGUUAUACUUACCAACUUACCUUUCUGAACUAGUAUACUCUGUUUCGAUAAAACAAGAAAGAAGGAACCGAAGAGGUCCUAAUAUUUAUGGGAAGUGUAUCUUAUGUUCCUUAUUUUGUUUUUUCUUGCUAAAAGGUUCUAAUUUGCCUAAAAAGGUCUUGACUUGCUAUGUUUGCUUACUGGUUCUUUGUUCCUUUGAUUUUGAUUUCUCAGUUCCCUCUUUUUUGUUUUUCCUAGGUUCAUGUUAGCUGAUUGACUGUAUGUUGUUUCUUUACAACUUAAAGAAAUGCAGUCUAGUCUACAAACAAGUCGAUUAAGUGUUCAUAGGUUGCUUGCAAGUCCGUAGAGAUGCUAACUUGGAAGCAACUAUAUAUGUUACUACUUCUCAUCAAUCUGAACGGAUACUACUUUUUUAGGCUUUUGCACAAUAACAGAAUUAGCGUUUGGCUGCUAUAUUUACCCUUGACGUUGGUUCGCCUAUAUAAGUCACUUGCUUAGCUACUUCAAACCUGCUUCUAAAAGAUGGGAGUUUUAUUGUCGCCACAAGUAAAUUUGCUUGCCUUCUUCUAGCUUCUUUCUUGGUUUAUCCAACUAUUUUGCAUUUAAUCAUCAGUUUCUGGCAUUGCAAACUUGAUUGAUUUCAUAUGACUUCCCGUUUCAUGGCUUCAAACUUGCUUCUAAAGGAUGAAAGUUCUAUUGCUGCCACAAGUAAAAUUGCUUGCAUUCGGCUCCUUACCUGGUUUAUCCAACUAUUUUGCAAUCAAUGUUGGUUGCUGAUAUUGCAAAGUUGCUUAAUCUAUCUUGCUGAGAAUUUCUAGUUGCUAGAAGUUAGCUUCUCUAUACAGUCUGAUAUCGCUGAUCUCAAAUGAAUCUUUAUUUAUUUCUUGUUUUAAUUAGUGCACCAAUUUUAUUUUUCCCCGCAAUGGUUUUGAAGAUAUAUAGCUGUGGCGCAGACGGCAACCAACUUCAACCAGCUUCAGAGUACUCUGCUACCCUAUUUCUCCUUGUCGCUGCCUACUCGGCUUCGUUUGGCAUUAUUUCCAUAGGUACUUAUCGAUGUAGAUUGGGCAUGGACUGUUGCCUCACAUUUCUUUCAAGCAGUCACGACUUUGGCUGGUUGGAGGUUUCUUGUCUGCUCAGUUUUGUGCAGCCUGUACUUGGCCUAGCGCUCGCUAAGAACCAGAAGCUAGGGCCAUUCAUGUAGCUGCUACCCAUGUGCAGCAAGCUGCUCAACCAAGGUGAGAUAUGCUAAUCUCCCACUUACUGCUUUGUCAGCUGGAUGGUGUGAUUUUACUUCAUUAGUGGGAGUGGGAGUGUUGUUCCUCUGUCCAAGGGAUUCACUAUCUUCAGUGAGUGCAAUCAUUUUGUUUAAAUGGAGGUGUUAGAUCUAAAUUUACAUUGACUGCAUCACACUCUAAUGUCUUUUGGUUAGAUCAACCUGUAGAACAAACUAUAUGCUGGCCAUCAUCAUGUUUUAGCCUUUUAGGUAUAUUAGAUAAGUAUAUCUAAGAAAUGGCUAGUGUCUUGUGAGGAUUGAGAAAAGUAGUGGUUUGUGUUACUGUGAAUGAUCAUACAAAUUAUGUUGGAUUUGGUUCUUAUGUGCAUAUGCUUUUUGAUAUCUUCCUUUGGCCAGUUAGUGUCUAUCCAUUAUAUUAUUAUAUUGUGUCUAUGGUGAAAACUAACCUAACAGGUGUUGGGGAACGUUGCAUGGAAAACAAAAAAAAUCCUACGCACACGCAAGAUCUAUCCAUGGAGAUGCAUAGCUACGAGAGG